GCAAUCAUGGAUAGCUCAGUUGGCUAGAGUGUGGUGCUGAUAACGCCAAGGUUGUGGGUUUGAUGCACGUAUGGGAUAGCUGCA